rnacentral:rRNA from 2 species
UGCAAGUCGAACGCUUCUUUCCUCCCGAGUGCUUGCACUCAAUUGGAAAGAGGAGUGGCGGACGGGUGAGUAACACGUGGGUAACCUACCCAUCAGAGGGGGAUAACACUUGGAAACAGGUGCUAAUACCGCAUAACAGUUUAUGCCGCAUGGCAUAAGAGUGAAAGGCGCUUUCGGGUGUCGCUGAUGGAUGGACCCGCGGUGCAUUAGCUAGUUGGUGAGGUAACGGCUCACCAAGGCCACGAUGCAUAGCCGACCUGAGAGGGUGAUCGGCCACACUGGGACUGAGACACGGCCCAGACUCCUACGGGAGGCAGCAGUAGGGAAUCUUCGGCAAUGGACGAAAGUCUGACCGAGCAACGCCGCGUGAGUGAAGAAGGUUUUCGGAUCGUAAAACUCUGUUGUUAGAGAAGAACAAGGACGUUAGUAACUGAACGUCCCCUGACGGUAUCUAACCAGAAAGCCACGGCUAACUACGUGCCAGCAGCCGCGGUAAUACGUAGGUGGCAAGCGUUGUCCGGAUUUAUUGGGCGUAAAGCGAGCGCAGGCGGUUUCUUAAGUCUGAUGUGAAAGCCCCCGGCUCAACCGGGGAGGGUCAUUGGAAACUGGGAGACUUGAGUGCAGAAGAGGAGAGU